rnacentral:rRNA from 1 species
GACGAACGCUGGCGGCGUGCUUAACACAUGCAAGUCGAACGGAAAGGCCCUGCUUUUGUGGGUUGCUCGAGUGGCGAACGGGUGAGUAACACGUGAGUAACCUGUCCUUGACUUUGGGAUAACUUCAGGAAACUGGGGCUCAUACCGGAUAGGAGCUCCUGCUGCAUGGUGGGGGUUGGAAAGUUUCGGCGGUUGGGGAUGGACUCGCGGCUUAUCAGCUUGUUGGUGGGGUAGGGGCUUACCAAGGCUUUGACGGGUAGCCGGCCUGAGAGGGUGACCGGCCACAUUGGGACUGAGAUACGGCCCAGACUCCUACGGGAGGCAGAAGUGGGGAAUAUUGCACAAUGGGCGGAAGCCUGAUGCAGCAACGCCGCGUGCGGGAUGACGGCCUUCGGGUUGUAAACCGCUUUCGCCUGUGACGAAGCGUGAGUGACGGUAAUGGGUAAAGAAGCACCGGCUAACUACGUG